CGGCGACUCCGGUCAGCUGACACGUCCCGGCCAAUCUCCAGCAGACCCUCCCUCCCAGAUCCUCCUACUUCCUGGACAGCAUCCAUGGAAGUAGGAGGGUCUGGGAGGGAGGGUCUGCUGGAGAUUGGCCGGGACGUGUCAGCUGACCGG
rnacentral:miRNA from 1 species